GUGCCAGCAGCCGCGGUAAUACGGAGGGUGCAAGCGUUGUCCGGAAUCACUGGGCGUAAAGGGUGCGCAGGCGGGGCAGCAAGUCGGAGGUGAAAGCCCGUGGCUCAACCACGGAAGUGCCUUCGAAACUGUUGCUCUUGAGUCCCGGAGAGGUUGCCGGAAUUCGUGGUGUAGCGGUGAAAUGCGUAGAGAUCGGGAGGAAUACCAGUGGCGAAGGCGGCCUUCUGGACUGACACUGACACUGAGGUGCGAAAGCGUGGGUAGCAAACAGGAUUAGAAACCCCGGUAGUCC
rnacentral:rRNA from 1 species